UAACACACAGGUUUCAUGGUCGGUUUUGCCAAUUGCAAAAUGUGAGUUCAAGGAUCUCAGAGUUCAGAUGUAACAGAACGUCUGGGCAAGGAGAGCUGUUUCCCGCCACAUUCAAUUCAAAAUCCAUACUGACUAUGUAUCGGGUUUAAAUGUAGAGUUGCGGUUGCAGAAGCAACUCACAACGUCCCCCCUCGUUUUUAAAUAGUUUACCGGUUGUAGUAAUGUCGAUGCACAUAAGGCACAGGUUCUAACUGGCCAUGGAGGAAAACAUUAUUUCGCCCAUUAGAACCACAUGCGGUAUAUUUAUGAAAGAUAUGCAACAGACAUAUCUCGGUUGCAGCCGGGAACAACGUUUAUUUUAAAUUACUUGAAAGUAUAAAUAUGUGUAGGUAUGUGUAAAAUACAAGUAUACUUUUAAUUACAAAAUAUGAAUUUUUGUAUUACAGGAAACUAAAUCAUCUCAAUGAUAUGGAAGACACAUGUCAAGAUUAUAUUAUAUUACCUUAGAACUUAAAAGCAUUUCAGUUCAUCUAUGCUUUUAGGCAUUCAUCAUUUUGAAUCUUUAAAAAUUAAUAGUCCUUUUUCUUAUCGAACGGCCUUUUCAUUAUGCUUAGUUAUAGUAGAAAAUAUAAUACUUGAAUAUUAAAUAUUAUCAAUUCAUAUUGUAUGUUCAAGUGGAGUUCAUUUUGGGUUUGUUUUACACUCAUAUCUAAGUAAAAAUCUAUGUUCGAUAUAUGUGCCUCGUGAUGUAAGUCAUAUGUAUAUUUUAUAAUCUCUCUGCUAGACAGCACAGUUUAAGUCCCAUUAUUUAUUCUGAUUUAGAGCUCUACUGCAUCAUCUGUAGAUAUCGA